UAACUGAAGAGUUUGAUCAUGGCUCAGAUUGAACGCUGGCGGCAGGCUUAACACAUGCAAGUCGAGCGGGGGAAGGUAGCUUGCUACUGGACCUAGCGGCGGACGGGUGAGUAAUGCUUAGGAAUCUGCCUAUUAGUGGGGGACAACAUCUCGAAAGGGAUGCUAAUACCGCAUACGUCCUACGGGAGAAAGCAGGGGAUCUUCGGACCUUGCGCUAAUAGAUGAGCCUAAGUCGGAUUAGCUAGUUGGUGGGGUAAAGGCCUACCAAGGCGACGAUCUGUAGCGGGUCUGAGAGGAUGAUCCGCCACACUGGGACUGAGACACGGCCCAGACUCCUACGGGAGGCAGCAGUGGGGAAUAUUGGACAA
rnacentral:rRNA from 1 species